rnacentral:misc_RNA from 1 species
CACCACUCAAGCCUCGCUUGGUAUUGGGCAUCGCGGUCCGCCGCGUGCCUCAAAUCGACCGGCUGGGUCUUCUGUCCCCUAAGCGUUGUGGAAACUAUUCGCUAAAGGGUGUUCGGGAGGCCACGCCGAAAAACAAACCCAUUUCUAA